AUAACGAGCCGCGGCAUGAUAAGCACGACAGCUGAUCCUGAUAAUUUAAACUUAUCAAAUAAAAGACUAAAGUUGAGAAGCCAAAAAAUAAAAUAACCGAUACAGUCAUACUCAACAGAAUUAGAAAAGAAGUACGAAGAAAAUAAUACUUGUGUCGACAAGGAUAACGUCGUUCGAAUAAAAAAAUCAUGUGGGAUAUUAAAAUCCCUUCUUAUAGUGGAAAUCAAUAUUUUAUUUUACAAAAAUUCCGGACGGUGGACAUGGAGAAAAAGACGACGAGUGAAAAAUGGAAAGAAUGCACAUUUUUAUGAAAAAUGUAAUUUAAAUACCAAUAAAGAUAAGGAUAUAUCAAUUGCAGUGGAUAAAGUGAUGGAGCUAGUGGUGAAUAAAUUCAUGAAUGAUCUGAAUAAGACUAUUUCAUCAUAUAAAAAAUAAAAUCGUGAGAAUCAAUGUAUAAAAAUUAUAGUGUAUAUUAAAAUAUUUAUGCUAAU